CGAGCGUUAUCCGGAAUUACUGGGUUUAAAGGGUGCGUAGGCGGCCAUGUAAGUCAGGAGUGAAAGUUUGCGGCUCAACCGUAAAAUUGCUUUUGAUACUGCAUGGCUGGAAUUAGGAUGAGGUCAGCGGAAUGUGGCAUGUAGCGGUGAAAUGCAUAGAUAUGCCAUAGAACACCAAUUGCGAAGGCAGCUGGCUAGACCUGGAUUGACGCUGAGGCACGAAAGCGUGGGGAGCGAACAGG
rnacentral:rRNA from 1 species